rnacentral:rRNA from 1 species
UACGAAGGGGGCUAGCGUUGCUCGGAAUCACUGGGCGUAAAGGGUGCGUAGGCGGGUCUUUAAGUCAGGGGUGAAAUCCUGGAGCUCAACUCCAGAACUGCCUUUGAUACUGAGGAUCUUGAGUUCGGGAGAGGUGAGUGGAACUGCGAGUGUAGAGUGAAAUUCGUAGAUAUUCGCGAAGAACACCAGUGGCGAAGGCGGCUCACUGGCCCGAUACUGACGCUGAGGCACGAAAGCGUGGGGAGCAAACAGG